AGUGAACGCUGGCGGUAGGCCUAACACAUGCAAGUCGAACGGCAGCACAGUAAGAGCUUGCUCUUACGGGUGGCGAGUGGCGGACGGGUGAGGAAUACAUCGGAAUCUACUUUUUCGUGGGGGAUAACGUAGGGAAACUUACGCUAAUACCGCAUAUGACCUACGGGUGAAAGCAGGGGAUCUUCGGACCUUGCGCGAUUGAAUGAGCCGAUGUCGGAUUAGCUAGUUGGCGGGGUAAAGGCCCACCAAGGCGACGAUGCGUAGCUGGUCUGAGAGGAUGAUCAGCCACACUGGAACUGAGACACGGUCCAGACUCCUACGGGAGGCAGCAGUGGGGAAUAUGGGGCAAUGGGCGCAAGCCUGAUCCAGCCAUACCGCGUGGGUGAAGAAGGCCUUCGGGUUGUAAAGCCCUUUUGUUGGGAAAGAAAAGCAGCAGGUUGAUACCCCGCUGUUCUGACGGUACCCAAAGAAUAAGCACCGGCUAACUACGUG
rnacentral:rRNA from 1 species